GACGAACGCUGGCGGCGUGCUUAACACAUGCAAGUCGAACGGGAUCCGGGCUUUCGGGUUUGGUGAGAGUGGCGAACGGGUGAGUAACACGUGAGUAACCUGCCCCCUUCUUUGGGAUAACGUCGGGAAAUCGGCGCUAAUACUGGAUAUUCUUGCUGCAUCGCAUGGUGUGGUUUGGAAAGGGUUUCUGGUGGGGGAUGGGCUCGCGGCCUAUCAGCUUGUUGGUGGGGUGAUGGCCUACCAAGGCUUUGACGGGUAGCCGGCCUGAGAGGGUGUCCGGCCACACUGGAACUGGGACACGGCCCAGACUCCUACGGGAGGCAGCAGUGGGGAAUAUUGCACAAUGGGCGCAAGCCUGAUGCAGCGACGCCGCGUGAGGGAUGACGGCCUUCGGGUUGUAAACCUCUUUCAGUAUGGAACAAGGAUCCUUCUUUUGGGGGGUUUGAGGGUACGUGCAGAAGAAGCGCCGGCUAACUACGUG
rnacentral:rRNA from 1 species